CGUGAGAUGUUGGGUUAAGUCCCGCAACGAGCGCAACCCUUGCCAUUAGUUGCUACGAAAGGGCACUCUAAUGGGACUGCCGGUGACAAACCGGAGGAAGGUGGGGAUGACGUCAGGUCAUCAUGGCCCUUAUGGGUAGGGCUACACACGUCAUACAAUGGCCGGUACAGAGGGCUGCCAACCCGCGAGGGGGAGCCAAUCCCAGAAAACCGGUCGUAGUCCGGAUCGAUAGUCUGCAACUCGACUGCG
rnacentral:rRNA from 1 species